UAUUAGGUUGGUGCAAACGUAAUUGCGGUUUUUGCUAAUUACUUUUAAUGGUAAAAACUGCAAUUACAUUUCCACCAACCUAGUAU
ensembl:miRNA